rnacentral:rRNA from 1 species
AGAGUUUGAUCAUGGCUCAGGAUCAACGCUGGCGGAAUGCUUUACACAUGCAAGUCGAACGGCAGCACGGGGGCAACCCUGGUGGCGAGUGGCGAACGGGUGAGUAAUACAUCGGAACGUGCCCAGUCGUGGGGGAUAACGUAGCGAAAGCUACGCUAAUACCGCAUACGAACUCUGGUUGAAAGCGGGGGAUCGCAAGACCUCGCGCGAUUGGAGCGGCCGAUGGCAGAUUAGGUAGUUGGUGGGGUAAAGGCUCACCAAGCCGACGAUCUGUAGCUGGUCUGAGAGGACGACCAGCCACACUGGGACUGAGACACGGCCCAGACUCCUACGGGAGGCAGCAGUGGGGAAUUUUGGACAAUGGGCGCAAGCCUGAUCCAGCCAUUCCGCGUGCAGGAUGAAGGCCCUCGGGUUGUAAACUGCUUUUGUACGGAACGAAAAGGCUCUGGUUAAUACCUGGGGCUCAUGACGGUACCGUAAGAAUAAGCACCGGCUAACUACGUGCCAGCCGCCGCGGUAAUAC